rnacentral:tRNA from 1 species
GCCCGGUUAGCUCAGUUGGUCAGAGCGCAUGACUUUUAAUCAUGUGGUCGGGGGUUCAAGUCCCCCAUCGGGCG